AUUGAACGCUGGCGGCAUGCCUUACACAUGCAAGUCGAACGGUAACGGGCCUUUGGGUGCCGACGAGUGGCGAACGGGUGAGUAAUGUAUCGGAACGUACCUUUCAGUGGGGGAUAACGUAGCGAAAGUUACGCUAAUACCGCAUAUUCUGUGAGCAGGAAAGCAGGGGAUCGCAAGACCUUGCGCUGAUUGAGCGGCCGAUAUCAGAGUAGCUAGUUGGUGAGGUAAAGGCUCACCAAGGCGACGAUCUGUAGCGGGUCUGAGAGGAUGAUCCGCCACACUGGAACUGAGACACGGUCCAGACUCCUACGGGAGGCAGCAGUGGGGAAUUUUGGACAAUGGGGGCAACCCUGAUCCAGCCAUGCCGCGUGAGUGAAGAAGGCCUUCGGGUUGUAAAGCUCUUUCGGCCGGGAAGAAAUCGUAUCAGCUAAUACCUGGUGCGGAUGACGGUACCGGCAUAAGAAGCACCGGCUAACUACGUGCCAGCAGCCGCCGUAAAAC
rnacentral:rRNA from 1 species